rnacentral:miRNA from 1 species
GACGUCGAAUAUCGACGUCAUAAACAACAAAGUUGAUCGUGUUUAUCAUGUCGACGUCAUAAACACCAAAGUUGAUGCUGUUUAUGACGUGGAAUAUCGACGUCAUAAACACCUAAGUUGGUCGUGUUUAUGACGUCGAAUAUCGACGUCAUAAACAACAAAAUUGAUCGUGCUUAUCACGUCGACCUCAUAAACACCCAAGUUGAUUCUGUUUAUGACGUCGAAUAUCGACGUC